UUCACUGCAAAGAAGCAUGCCAAGACAUUUCUCUAAGAGCCAACAUUACUUAAUGCUUCCAGUCUUCGGUGUACUGGCCAUAUACUGCAGGAUAAGACAGUGUGAGAGAGGGACUGGAGAUUGUCAUUCCAAGAGUGGACAUUGCAAGGUGAAAUUACAGCUUCAUUAAAUGAAUGGAAGUUAACCAGAAAUGGAGAGUCUAGCU